rnacentral:lncRNA from 1 species
CCCAGAAGCAGCAGCAGGAAGAGGUGCGAAAACGUGAAAAGGAGUCACAGAGACAGUCACCACGUCAGCGGCGGCGCUCUCCUCCACGUGCACGUUCACCUUCACGCUCACCCUCACCCAAACCCCGAAGCCGCCCCCAGGUAGAAAGAGCCAUCCCUCAGACCCCCAAAAAAGCCUCAGAGACCCUUCCAAAGCCCCGCAGGCCAGAGGCACAGCCUGAGACAGAGUUAGAUCACAAGGAAGAUCAAGAAUCCUUUCAAGAUAAGAGGGAUUUUUUUCAAAAGAUUGGUACGUCAGAAGCACGCCCAAAGCCUUCGUCAAAGGUUGCUAAGCCACUGAUAUACGCCACUCCACCGGUGACCCAACCCAAAUCACCUCCGCCAGUAAAGACUGAAGUGAAUCCACUCCCAGUACCUCCUAACAUCCAAGAACCUGAACCAGAACCAGAACCAGAAUCUCCAGAACCAACAUCUCCUAAACCAGAACCUACUAGUAAAAUUAGAGAGAUCAUCAAGCAGUACCAGAGCCGGCCCUCUCCAGAACCUAAAGCCUUCGAGCCUGUCAGGGUUCCGGCCAAGCAAUUUCUAAAGAAAAAUGACCCCAAAGAUGAGGCGCUGGCCAUUCUCAAAUCUCAGGGACCUGUCACUCAGCAGAAGAAACAGUGGGAAGAGAAGCCUCCUUCACCCCCUCAGCCCCCUGAGUCCCAUGGUCCUCGUGCCAUCUCUAACGAUAUGAAACAGAAGCAGCGUUCACUAGCUGAUCUCUUCGGCUCACAGCGUUCGCAUGCUCUGCCUCGAGCUCGUGAGCCCAUCCCUCCUCCAUCUCCCAGCAUCCCCGACCCACCACUGAUGUCUCCACCUGGACCUAGUAAGUGAUUCUCAAAUAAUUUAUAUGAGUCACUUCUAACAUAUAUGCAGUACACUUA